GGAAAACAGACUUGGAAAAUAUGAGUUGAUGGACCCUGACAGCCAGUUUCUGAGGUUUGUCCUUCCAGCCAGCCAGUCAUGGGAGAUCGUUACACUUUGACCUCAAAAUCUUUGCCUGCCUCCCAAGUUCUCCCACAGCACUAUACAUUCACAUCUGUUUAGAGCCCGCUGCUUGCUGGACAUACUUUAGUCUCAGCUUUGGAGGAAGAUGGCUAGCUCUUGGAAAUCUUUUAGAUCUCUUAGAAACACUUUUGUAUACUAUUCAUUUAUUUUGUGUGUGUCUAGUGCACAGGAAAAAGCUCAGUGUAAUAAAAUUAACAACUGCAGCUGUAGAAUGAGUAAUACCGCAACCCAAGCCUAAGACUGGCAAGUCACAAUGCUUUGCCAGCCCUUGAAUGGAAGUCACUCAUGUGGGAAACAGAAAAUCCAUCUUUCAAUUGUCCCAGAAGGUUCUUUCUCAACAUGAAUGUUUCUAUAAGUUGUUUAUAUCCCGUUGACUGUAACGCUAUUACCUCGAUUGGGAACAGAUGUUGAUAAAAAAUAAAUUUGGAGAAGCUGAAUGUUUUCUCUAAGGACACACAGCAAGUUAGUGGGAGGCUGGAGCAAAACUGAUCAGCUUCCUGGAGGUGGGCCCACUCUCUGGAGCUGUCAGGGUACUCUUCCUGCAACUGAAGGUCAUUCCUCUUUGUUAGAAGACUAAGGGUCCCUGACCUGAUCUGUGGAGCACCAGGGUGGAGAGAGUGGAAUAAGCAGCAAAACGAAAAAUUGGAUGCUGUUUUCAAAAGUUUUGUUCUCAUUCUUGGAUUAUAGAUUAUCUAAAGGGAAAAUUUAACUCAACCAAAAAAUUCGUUCAGCUCCAUGAAGCUAAAGAUGCUAUAAACUGACUCUUUCCUAAAGAGCACCAAACCUGAAAUUUUUCCUGCUAGAGAGGAACUAAUCUUCAAGGACACCUGUCUAUUGCUAGACAUUAAGAAGGAAGGUGAACUCCGUUCUGUCUUCAUAAAACACAUUUUUGUCUUUCCCCCUCACUCCUCCACUGAACCCACUAUGUUUACAAGUACAAGCUAUGACUGUGGAGGUGGAAAAUCUGAUACUGUCAGCACAAGUGGAACAAAAUGAAAAGAGAAAAAAAUCUACACACCCAUCUGGACUUCCAUAUGCUCUGUAGCCCAGAGGCUAAUAUAAUUCCUUGAAUGUUGGUUAUAAAGCAAUGUGAUAUGGAUGACUGCUAUGCACUGAGCUUAUUUAGACAAGUGUUCUUUCUACUCAAUAAACCUUUGAAAGGAUUAAAGUACAAUCACUC
rnacentral:lncRNA from 1 species